rnacentral:rRNA from 1 species
UGGGAAUUUGGACAAUGGGCGAAGCCUGAUCCAGCAAUGCCGCGUGUGUGAAGAAGGCCUUCGGGUUGUAAAGCACUUUUGUCCGGAAAGAAAUCCUUGGCUCUAAUACAGUCGGGGGAUGACGGUACCGGAAGAAUAAGCACCGGCUAACUACGUGCCAGCAGCCGCGGUAAUACGUAGGGUGCAAGCGUUAAUCGGAAUUACUGGGCGUAAAGCGUGCGCAGGCGGUUUGCUAAGACCGAUGUGAAAUCCCCGGGCUCAACCUGGGAACUGCAUUGGUGACUGGCAGGCUAGAGUAUGGCAGAGGGGGGUAGAAUUCCACGUGUAGCAGUGAAAUGCGUAGAGAUGUGGAGGAAUACCGAUGGCGAAGGCAGCCCCCUGGCAAUACUGACGCUCAUGCACGAAAGCGUGGGGAGCAAAACAGGAUUAGAUACCCUGGUAGUCCACGCCCU